UACAGAGGGUGCAAGCGUUGUCCGGAAUCAUUGGGCGUAAAGCGCGUGUAGGCGGUCCGGUAAGUCCGCUGUGAAAGUCGGGGGCUCAACCCUCGGAUGCCGGUGGAUACUGUCGGGCUUGAGUACGGAAGAGGCGAGUGGAAUUCCUGGUGUAGCGGUGAAAUGCGCAGAUAUCAGGAGGAACACCAAUUGCGAAGGCAGCUCGCUGGGACGUUACUGACGCUGAGACGCGAAAGCGUGGGGAGCAAACAGG
rnacentral:rRNA from 1 species